rnacentral:RNase_P_RNA from 1 species
GAAGAGGAGAAAACGGUCGCGCUUUAUGAUUGAAUGAAGUGAGGAAAGUCCGAGCUCCACAGAGCCAUGGCGCCCGGUAACGCCGGGGCGGAGAGAUCCGACGGAAAGUGCCACAGAAAAUAUACAGCCCACCUGAAUGCCGCAAGGCCUUCAGCGGCAAUGGUGAAAUCGAGGUGUAAGAGACCCCGUUCAGGCCGGGUAAUCGGUCUGGAGGUAAACCCCGCCAGGAGCAAGGCCAAAUAGGGAAAGAGGGGCUGGCUCGCCCCGUUUGAUUUCCGGGUAGGCUGCAUGGAACCGGCAGGCAACUGUCUGGUCAAGAUAAAUGACCGUACCGCCAUUUAUGGCGGAACAGAACUCGGCUUAUUCUGCUCUUUCUGG